CUGCAGACCCAAUAAGAAGGAGAAACACAGCUACUGUUUUUGGAUAUGCGCACACAUUGCAACGCCAACCUUUUCAAGAAGCUGGUUGAAGGAAUGAAAGAGGUACACUGUGUUCACACGGUCCAACAAGUCUGCCACCGCUGGGGAACUUUG